GGUAGCACAAUCACUUGCCCCUUAAAUGGGGGCCCGUAUGAAAGGCAACACGAGAGAAAACCUGUCUCCUAAAGUCGGCCAAUGAAGUUGAACUGCCAGUACAAAAGCUGGCAUGCUAAAGCAAGACAAAAAGACCCCGUGGAACUUAAAUAACCUGUUUACAGAACUAAACGGUAAUUUUAGUUGGGACAACUUUAGAAAAAUUUAACCUCUAACACCUCUAAGACUAACAAGUCUAAGGCACAAACUGACCCAGUCACACUGAUUAAUGAAAUAAGCUACCCCAGGGAUAACAGCGCCACCUUCUCAAAAAGUCCAUAUUAACAAGAAGAUCUACGACCUCGAUGUUGGAUCAGGGCACCCAGACGGUGCAACAGCUGUCAAAGGUUCGUUUGUUCAACGACUAACGCCCUACGUGA
rnacentral:rRNA from 1 species